ACGGUCCUAAGGUAGCGAAAUUCCUUGUCGGGUAAGUUCCGACCUGCACGAAUGGCAUAAUGAUGGCCAGGCUGUCUCCACCCGAGACUCAGUGAAAUUGAAAUCGCCGUGAAGAUGCGGUGUACCCGCGGCUAGACGGAAAGACCCCGUGAACCUUUACUAUAGCUUGACACUGAACAUUGAAUUUUGAUGUGUAGGAUAGGUGGGAGACUUUGAAGAUGAUACGCCAGUAUUGUUGGAGUCGUCCUUGAAAUACCACCCUUUAACGUUUGAUGUUCUAACGAAGAUUACGAAACGUGGUCUCGGACAGUGUCUGGUGGGUAGUUUGACUGGGGCGGUCUCCUCCCAAAGAGUAACGGAGGAGUUCGAAGGUUACCUAGGUCCGGUCGGAAAUCGGACUGAUAGUGCAAUGGCAAAAGGUAGCUUAACUGCGAGACCGACAAGUCGAGCAGGUGCGAAAGCAGGACAUAGUGAUCCGGUGGUUCUGUAUGGAAGGGCCAUCGCUCAACGGAUAAAAGGUACUCCGGGGAUAACAGGCUGAUACCGCCCAAGAGUUCAUAUCGACGGCGGUGUUUGGCACCUCGAUGUCGGCUCAUCACAUCCUGGGGCUGAAGUAGGUCCCAAGGGUAUGGCUGUUCGCCAUUUAAAGUGGUACGCGAGCUGGGUUUAGAACGUCGUGAGACAGUUCGGUCCCUAUCUGCCGUGGGCGUUGGAGAAUUGAAAGGGGCUGCUCCUAGUACGAGAGGACCGGAGUGGACGCACCACUGGUGUUCCGGUUGUGUCGCCAGACGCAUUGCCGGGUAGCUAAGUGCGGAAGAGAUAAGUGCUGAAAGCAUCUAAGCACGAAACUUGCCUUGAGAUGAGUUCUCCCUGUCUUUAAGACAGUAAGGGUUGUUUAAGACUAAGACGUAGAUAGGUCUGGUGUGUAAGCGGUGCGAGCCGUUGAGCUAACAGAUACUAAUUGCCCGAGAGGCUUAACUAU
rnacentral:rRNA from 1 species